CCUACGGGGGGCUGCAGUGGGGAAUUUUGGACAAUGGGGGCAACCCUGAUCCAGCCAUUCCGCGUGAGUGAAGAAGGCCUUCGGGUUGUAAAGCUCUUUUGUCCGGAGCGAAACGGCCGGCCCUAAUACGGUCGUCUACUGACGGUACCGGAAGAAUAAGCACCGGCUAACUACGUGCCAGCAGCCGCGGCAAUACGUAGGGUAUUACUGUGAAUCGGAAUUGCUGGGGGGAAAUCGUGAGCCAGAGGUUAAAUCCCCGGGCUCAACCUGGGAAUGGCAUUUGGGACUGCAAGGCUGGAGUGUGGCAGAGGGGACUAGAAUUCCUGGUGUAGCAGUGAAAUGCGUAGAUAUCAGGAGGAAUACCGAUGGCGAAGGCAGGUCCCUGGGUUAACACUGACGCUCAUGCACGAAAGCGUGGGGAGCAAACAGGAUUAGAUACCCUGGUAGUC
rnacentral:rRNA from 1 species